GGGGGGGGGGGUUGGACGUCCCAGGUUUUGCUAGGCUAACGCCACUGACUCCAGGCGGCCUGCAGGGACAGGGAACCGGCCACGCCUCCGUCCCUCCCCUGCCCGCCGAUUCCCGGGCUGGGAAGGCGGGGGCUACGUACUUGAGGCAGGCUGGCCAACCUGCUGCCACCCCCAACUUGUGGGUCCAAGGAAAGGAAACUGGAGUCUUGGAAGGAAAAGAAGGGCUCCCCUUGAUUUUACAGAUAGUGAAACUGAGACAGGAUGGGGGUGAAGGGAUUGUUCUUGUUUCUAGACUCUCGGGAAAUCAGAAUAGGAGUUGCAAGGGAUCCCGGUCCCCAGCUCCAUCUGCUCUGCCUGGCAGGGGAAUCCAAAGAAGGGAAUGCGCGGUGGGAGGCAGGAUAGUUUCCUAACGUUUUUUCCUUAACAUCUUCCUCCCCCACCCCACCCCACCCUCUCACCCCGGUCAUUUAAUCAUCUGCCCUGUCUGGUGGGACCGGGAGUCGAUCUUGCAUCCGCGGUUGGACCAGACGGCCAGUUCUCGCCCAGUCACCGGCAGACCUGAAGCCUGCUUCCCACCGAGAAGCGUUACUGAAGCUGCGGUGGGAAUGGGCGACGGGAAGAAGGAACGGACGUCAAGCCCAGGGCAUUUACCAGUUUGUUCCGGGCUCGAGGGCCUGAAAUCUGCUCUUCUCGCCUCGCAGGCGCCUGAUUCCGUCUAAAGCCGGCAGGCCAGGCCGUGGCAGAGGCAGCCUCCUGGAGACCGCCUUCGCCCUAGGGCGUGUAAUCCGCAAGACGCUGCUAGGACUCUCCUGGUUUCUCCCCCGUAGUCGCGCAGAGGGCCGGGAGCAAAAUUAUGCUAGGCCACUCUACCUAGAUCGUCACCCCUUGAGAAUGUUUGAGUCUCUAAAUACCCUGUCACCCAAGUUCACACCGCUAGAAACCAGCCUUCCGCGAAAAAUAUGCCGAGGGAAACUCGACCUGCACAGCAUCCCGGAGGCUUUCGACCCACCCGCACUGAGCCGUGGAGCAAAGUGCACAACCUCUGCAACUUCCCCCUAGGACCAGGGCCCUUGACUGCCUGUCUGAUUUUCUCCACUGGGGCUUUCCUCCCGCUCCCGUGGGAACCUGGUAAUCCCACAGUGGCAGUGCUUCGGGCUGCGGGUUGCGAAGCGUAGGUCUAACCUUGUAUUACAAUGGCUUCCUAGAAGAGGAAACCGAGGCCCUCUAACCCCUCAGCCCUUUCCAGCCAAGCCCCUUCCCUAGGCCGAGUAGACAAAUGUGCCUUUCUCUCAAUCAGGAUACCAAGGGGGAGAAAUGGAGUUACAUGCCACCAUACCACUGCAAAACCUGGACAGGAAGAAGAGGCCAGACCCUUGGAUUCCUCUUGCACUGCUCUGUUCUGACCAAAUCGGGGUCCUUCCCUUUUCGGACAACUCUACAGAAUCCAGUUGCCAUAAAUAAGGCUGGUGGUGGAGGAGAGGAGAGUAUCACCAGGUGGCAAAAUCAAGGCCCAGAUGAUGGGAAGGGACCUGCCCAGGGGCUCACAGCUAGAAAUCCAAAACACUCCACUGCAGAUGUAAUCCACUUUAGUUUCUCUGCCACACUCUUCCUUAGCUAAGGAAAAAUUAGGAGAGGGUGCUGUGCAUAUGGAUGUGCCGGGGGAUGGGGAGACCUGUCCAUUCUUAGGUUGUAACAACCGUAAAAAUACAAAACCUAUUUAAGGUAAACCUUCUGCUGCCCUUUGUCUAAUGAGUAACAUAAAUCAAACUCGUGGAAAAAGAAUAUUAAAUUUUCCGAAUCUUCCCUCCGGGCUGGGACGAGAGAAUUCAAGGGAGAAUUAAACAUGUAUGUUUUUUUCCCCUCUUUUUCUGCCUUCCUCCCCCCAUUCCCUUUCUCUUCCGUAGUCUGUAAAUGACAACGUGUU